rnacentral:rRNA from 1 species
GACGAACGCUGGCGGCGUGCUUAACACAUGCAAGUCGAACGGAAAGGCCCCUUCGGGGGUACUCGAGUGGCGAACGGGUGAGUAACACGUGGGUAAUCUGCCCUGCACUUCGGGAUAAGCCUGGGAAACUGGGUCUAAUACCGGAUAGGACCCCGAGGCGCAUGCCUUGGGGUGGAAAGCUUUUGCGGUGUGGGAUGGGCCCGCGGCCUAUCAGCUUGUUGGUGGGGUGACGGCCUACCAAGGCGACGACGGGUAGCCGGCCUGAGAGGGUGUCCGGCCACACUGGGACUGAGAUACGGCCCAGACUCCUACGGGAGGCAGCAGUGGGGAAUAUUGCACAAUGGGCGCAAGCCUGAUGCAGCGACGCCGCGUGGGGGAUGACGGCCUUCGGGUUGUAAACCUCUUUCAGCAGGGACGAAGCGCAAGUGACGGUACCUGCAGAAGAAGCACCGGCCAACUACG